rnacentral:tRNA from 1 species
CCGGUGGUAGCUCAGUUGGUAGAGCGGCAGACUGUAGAUAAGCGGCUAUCUGUUGGUCGGUGGUUCGAUUCCGCCUCACCGGAC